ensembl:lncRNA
CUGGUCUAUGUAUGUCUAUGGUCGGCACGUCUGGUAGCAUCUCUGGCUACUGUUGAUCUUGUUUUUGGAGUAAAACACGGUGGAAGCUGAAUUAGUGAGGAUGACUCCUGCUCCUGUCAUCUCUAAGCUCCUCACACAUCUUUACCUGUACAUGAGGAAAAUCACUCCUGUAGAAUGCAGAUGUUCAGAGGGAGAUGAUGCCACAUCUGGUCCAGCUGAUGGAAGGUCUUGAAGUUCUCUGACUGGCCUCGACUGAAGAUGGUCGUCUCACUGGAUUUAAGGUUCAGAUGCUCAGUAACAAACUCCACCGAUGUGCCAACAGGGAAGCUUUAGGUUUAUUAAAUGUUGCUAUGAAGGUUUCGCUGUUUUUCUUUGUGAAUGCAAUGUGCUCCAACUGAAACUUGAAUUAGAACUUAGAAGUAAAUCCUUCCAUCUGAAAGGAUUUAUUUGCAUUAAUAACCUCAUAACAUUCUAAUUUUUAUUCCAGUCUUAGUUGGAAAUAGAAUCUCUGUAUUGAUUCAGGUAAAAACUGAACUUCACAGCAUGUUGGAGCAAAACAACCAGAUGAAAACUGUGAUGGUGUUGGAUUGUCAGACCGUAAUGUUGCAGCUCAAAGCAGCUUUUCUAUCUCAGUUCAUUCUGACAUUCAGCUAUGAAUCAACACAGCAGAUGAUGAUCCAUGCUGUGGAAGUCUCACAUCUCCUGAUUUAAUGGAGCUGCUUUGCACUUUUUACACUGUUUAUUCACCAACACUUUAUUUAAUAAAAGUCCCAUCUAGUUUUUAUGAGGAAUGUGAUGUUUUAAUUUCUCUGUGAAUAACUGCAGUCUAAUGCAACAGCUGGAGUUGUAACAUCUGUCCUGAUAUUGAUCAUGAAGUAUUGAUCAGAAUACUUAUGGUCAGCAGUCAUCCCUGAAGUUUUACAUUAAAAUCUUUACUUGUGUUGUGAACUUUGGUAAGAAGCAGAAACGUUAGCGUUGCCAUGGAUACAUGAGUGUUAAAUUCUGUCCAUGUUUCAUUUUGGGAAAUGCAGUCCAGUUCCAGAAUGUGGAGGAAUUUAGUCUCAAUCACAGACAACAAAUAUUAUCUGAAAGUCGAGUUAUUGUUGUUUAUCAGCACAAUACAAAACGAUUGUUAGAAAUAUUCCAGUUAAGACCCUAGAAUAUCAUGAUUUAUGUAAAUUUACCUCAAUAAUAUGAAUGUUCAGGUCAAGAUUGUACAGUGAUAUUUAUUAUGUAAGUUUAGCUUAUUAAAGUUUAUGACUCUGCACUAAAAUAUUAUUUAAAUUGACAUCAUUAUUAUAAUAUUUAGGGUCAGACCCUACAGUAUUGAGAUUAAGAAAUCCAAUAUUCUAUAAAAUGUAAAUACACUGAACUCAUUUGGAUAUAUUUAAGUGAGACUCUACAAUAUUAUUUGACACAAAUCUAUCUAAAUCAAAAUUUGAAUAAUUUUCACGCCAAACAUUUACUGGACUGAUUUAAAUAUUAAAAUCACUCCUUUCUAAUCCUCUGCUGUACGUUCAAACCUGAGGCCUUAAAUAGAAACACACAAGUAUCUGUUUGAAGGAACUUCUGCAGAGUCCUGGUUCCAGAACAUG